rnacentral:rRNA from 1 species
AUUGAACGCUGGCGGCAUGCCUUACACAUGCAAGUCGAACGGCAGCGGGGGAGAAGCUUGCUUUUCCUGCCGGCGAGUGGCGAACGGGUGAGUAAUACAUCGGAACGUGCCCUGUAGUGGGGGAUAACUAGUCGAAAGAUUAGCUAAUACCGCAUACGACCUGAGGGUGAAAGUGGGGGACCGCAAGGCCUCAUGCUAUAGGAGCGGCCGAUGUCUGAUUAGCUAGUUGGUGGGGUAAAGGCCUACCAAGGCGACGAUCAGUAGCUGGUCUGAGAGGACGAUCAGCCACACUGGGACUGAGACACGGCCCAGACUCCUACGGGAGGCAGCAGUGGGGAAUUUUGGACAAUGGGCGAAAGCCUGAUCCAGCAAUGCCGCGUGUGUGAAGAAGGCCUUCGGGUUGUAAAGCACUUUUGUCCGGAAAGAAAUCGCGCUGGUUAAUACCUGGCGUGGAUGACGGUACCGGAAGAAUAAGCACCGGCUAACUACGUGCCAGCCGCCGCAGUAA